AAUGAUUCAAGAAAUGGAUGCUAAAACCAACAAGAGAGAGAGAGAGAGAGAGAGAGAGAGGGUCUGUUGAUAUUCAUGAAUUCGUAGCUCCCAACGUAACUUCAGUCCUCGAAAACAUCUGGCUCGGUGAUCCGGCUCUGGUGGAGGGGGGCCUCGGCCUCCCAUUGUUGUACAUCCACCCCAGAGAACGUCUUCUUGAAACCCCCCUCCAUCCCUCCCUCCUCAGUGAUCAUGGAAGG
rnacentral:lncRNA from 1 species